GAAAUGCGAUAAGUAGUGUGAAUUGCAGAAUUCAGUGAAUCAUCGAAUCUUUGAACGCACAUUGCGCCCCUCGGCAUUCCGUGGGGUAUGCCUGUUCGAGCGUCAUCUACACCCUCAAGCUCUGCUUGGUGUUGGGCGUCUGUCCCGCCUCCGCGCGCGGACUCGCCCCAAAUGCAUUGGCAGCGGUUCCUUGCCCCCCUCUUUGCGCAGCACAUUGCCAUUCGAGGCGGCGGCGGCCCGCGUCCAACAAGCUCAACCCCCCCGUCUUUGACCUCGGAUCAGGUAGGGAUACCCGCUGAACUUAAGC
rnacentral:misc_RNA from 1 species